ACCUAUUAUUCGAAAGUUUUAUGAAUUACUUUUCUACCUUUUCAUUCACUCAGCCAACUUGUGGUCCUAUUUCUUACCAUCUAAAUUUUCUUGACAUACCGAAAUAUCUUUAAGAAAACAAAAUCAUAAUAAAACAUAAAAUUCCAAAACCAGCAGCACUAUUUCAUACAACGAUGAUAUCAUCCAAGGGAUUUUUGUAAUCCAACUGCAAGUGAAAAUCAGUUUCAGAAAAAAGUAACAAAAUGUGCUUAACUUUCUCUAAACUUACAAAGGUCUCCAAAACCUUGCAGAGCAGCGUGACACAAGAAAAGGAUCGGUCACUAUUAAUGCCCGAUUAAAUGCAGGGAUGAGAUGCUCC
rnacentral:lncRNA from 1 species